GAUGAACGCUGGCGGCGUGCCUAAUACAUGCAAGUCGAACGGUGAAAGCGGAGCUUGCUCCGCUGGAUCAGUGGCGAACGGGUGAGUAACACGUGGGCAACCUGCCCCUCACUUCGGGAUAACUCCGGGAAACCGGGGCUAAUACCGGAUAUGACCUCCUUGGGCAUCCUUGGAGGUGGAAAGUUUUUCGGUGAGGGAUGGGCCCGCGGCCUAUCAGCUUGUUGGUGAGGUAGUGGCUCACCAAGGCGACGACGGGUAGCCGGCCUGAGAGGGCGACCGGCCACACUGGGACUGAGACACGGCCCAGACUCCUACGGGAGGCAGCAGUGGGGAAUAUUGGACAAUGGGGGCAACCCUGAUCCAGCCAUGCCGCGUGAGUGAUGAAGGCCUUAGGGUUGUAAAGCUCUUUUACCCGGGACGAUAAUGACUGUACCGGGAGAAUAAGCCCCGGCUAACUUCGUGCCAGCCGCCGCCGUAA
rnacentral:rRNA from 1 species